AAAUUGAAGAGUUUGAUCAUGGCUCAGAUUGAACGCUGGCGGCAGGCCUAACACAUGCAAGUCGAACGGUAACAGGAAGCAGCUUGCUGCUUUGCUGACGAGUGGCGGACGGGUGAGUAAUGUCUGGGAAACUGCCUGAUGGAGGGGGAUAACUACUGGAAACGGUGGCUAAUACCGCAUAACGUCGCAAGACCAAAGAGGGGGACCUUCGGGCCUCUUGCCAUCAGAUGUGCCCAGAUGGGAUUAGCUUGUUGGUGAGGUAACGGCUCACCAAGGCGACGAUCCCUAGCUGGUCUGAGAGGAUGACCAGCCACACUGGAACUGAGACACGGUCCAGACUCCUACGGGAGGCAGCAGUGGGGAAUAUUGCACAAUGGGCGCAAGCCUGAUGCAGCCAUGCCGCGUGUAUGAAGAAGGCCUUCGGGUUGUAAAGUACUUUCAGCGGGGAGGAAGGUGUUGUGGUUAAUAACCGCAGCAAUUGACGUUACCCGCAGAAGAAGCACCGGCUAACUCCGUGCCAGCAGCCGCGGUAAUACGGAGGGUGCAAGCGUUAAUCGGAAUUACUGGGCGUAAAGCGCACGCAGGCGGUCUGUCAAGUCGGAUGUGAAAUCCCCGGGCUCAACCUGGGAACUGCAUUCGAAACUGGCAGGCUUGAGUCUUGUAGAGGGGGGUAGAAUUCCAGGUGUAGCGGUGAAAUGCGUAGAGAUCUGGAGGAAUACCGGUGGCGAAGGCGGCCCCCUGGACAAAGACUGACGCUCAGGUGCGAAAGCGUGGGGAGCAAACAGGAUUAGAUACCCUGGUAGUCCACGCCGUAAACGAUGUCUACUUGGAGGUUGUGCCCUUGAGGCGUGGCUUCCGGAGCUAACGCGUUAAGUAGACCGCCUGGGGGAGUUACGGCCGCAAGGUUAAAACUCAAAUGAAUUGACGGGGGCCCGCACAAGCGGUGGAGCAUGUGGUUUAAUUCGAUGCAACGCGAAGAACCUUACCUGGUCUUGACAUCCACAGAACUUUCCAGAGAUGGACUGGUGCCUUCGGGAACCGUGAGACAGGUGCUGCAUGGCUGUCGUCAGCUCGUGUUGUGAAAUGUUGGGUUAAGUCCCGCAACGAGCGCAACCCUUAUCCUUUGUUGCCAGCGAUUAGGUCGGGAACUCAAAGGAGACUGCCAGUGAUAAACUGGAGGAAGGUGGGGAUGACGUCAAGUCAUCAUGGCCCUUACGACCAGGGCUACACACGUGCUACAAUGGCGCAUACAAAGAGAAGCGACCUCGCGAGGGCAAGCGGACCUCAUAAAGUGCGUCGUAGUCCGGAUUGGAGUCUGCAACUCGACUCCAUGAAGUCGGAAUCGCUAGUAAUCGUGGAUCAGAAUGCCACGGUGAAUACGUUCCCGGGACCUUGUACACACCGACCCGUCACACCACUGGCACGUGGGUGGGCACAAGCAAGCUACGCUAGCUUAACCUUCGGGAGAGCGCUUACCACUUUGUGAUUCAUGACUGGGGUGAAGUCGUAACAAGGUAACCGUAGGGGAACCUGCGGUUGGAUCACCUCCUUA
rnacentral:rRNA from 1 species